UGGGGAAUAUUGGACAAUGGGGGCAACCCUGAUCCAGCCAUGCCGCGUGUGUGAAGAAGGCCUUCGGGUUGUAAAGCACUUUAAGUGGGGAGGAAGGGGUCAACGCUAAUACCGUUGAUCAUUGACGCUACCCACAGAAUAAGCACCGGCUAACUCUGUGCCAGCAGCCGCGGUAAUACAGAGGGUGCAAGCGUUAAUCGGAAUUACUGGGCGUAAAGCGCGCGUAGGCGGCUGAUUAAGUCGGGUGUGAAAGCCCCGGGCUCAACCUGGGAAUUGCAUCCGAUACUGAUUGGCUAGAGUAUGAGAGAGGGAGGUAGAAUUCCACGUGUAGCGGUGAAAUGCGUAGAUAUGUGGAGGAAUACCGGUGGCGAAGGCGGCCUCCUGGCUUAAUACUGACGCUGAGGUGCGAAAGCGUGGGGAUCAAAC
rnacentral:rRNA from 1 species